UACGGAAGGCAGCAGUGGGGAAUAUUGCACAAUGGGCGCAAGCCUGAUGCAGCCAUGCCGCGUGUAUGAAGAAGGCCUUCGGGUUGUAAAGUACUUUCAGUCGUGAGGAAGGUGUUAAGGUUAAUAACCUUAGCAAUUGACGUUAGCGACAGAAGAAGCACCGGCUAACUCCGUGCCAGCAGCCGCGGUAAUACGGAGGGUGCGAGCGUUAAUCGGAAUUACUGGGCGUAAAGGGCACGCAGGCGGUUAAUUAAGUUGGAUGUGAAAUCCCCGGGCUUAACCUGGGAAUGGCAUUCAAGACUGGUUAGCUAGAGUCUUGUAGAGGGGGUAGAAUUCCAUGUGUAGCGGUGAAAUGCGUAGAGAUGUGGAGGAAUACCGGUGGCGAAGGCGGCCCCGUGGCAAAGGACUGACGCUCAUGUGCGAAAGCGUGGGGAGCAAACAGGGAUUAGAUACCC
rnacentral:rRNA from 1 species